GGAGUCUAGCAUGUGCGCAAGUCAUUGGGACUAGCGAAACCUAAAGGCGAAAUGAAAGUGAAGGUCCGCCUUGCGCGGACCGAGGGAGGAUGGGCCGUGUCACGAUGCGGCCCCGCACUCCCGGGGCGUCUCAUUCUCAUUGCGAGAAGAGGCGCACCCAGAGCGUACACGCUGGGACCCGAAAGAUGGUGAACUAUGCCUGGUCAGGACGAAGUCAGGGGAAACCCUGAUGGAGGUCCGUAGCGAUUCUGACGUGCAAAUCGAUCGUCGGAACUGGGUAUAGGGGCGAAAGACUAAUCGAACCAUCUAGUAGCUGGUUCCCUCCGAAGUUUCCCUCAGGAUAGCUGGCGCUCGCUUUGCGAGUCUCAUCCGGUAAAGCGAAUGAUUAGAGGCAUUGGGGUCGAAACGGCCUCAACCUAUUCUCAAACUUUAAAUGGGUGAGAUCUCCGGCUUGCUUGAACGUGAAGCCGCGAGAUUUCGGAUCAGAGUGCCAAGUGGGCCACUUUUGGUAAGCAGAACUGGCGCUGUGGGAUGAACCAAACGCCGAGUUAAAGCCCUAAAUCGACGCUUAUGGGAUACCAUGAAAGGCGUUGGUAACUUAAGACAGCAGGACGGUGGCCAUGGAAGUC
rnacentral:rRNA from 1 species